UUCAGAUCUUCUGGAAUCUAAAUCUGCAGAGAUCCAGUAGCCCUUAGCUUGCUGAAGCCCCUUAGCUUGCAGAUUAGGAGGUGUGUUUAGUCUGGCAAAUAUCAUCAAAGACAGUGAUGUGGGAAAGAGAAACAACUAGAGUUGCACUUGAAAAUUAUUCUAAAUAUAUAGGGGAAAGAACCCAGCAGUGUGUUCUCUGUGGUUAAAAUUAAAAAAGAACAGGAUGCCAUGAAAAUAGGAACUGACUGUAUGGUCCUCCUGGGAAAAACAGGCUCUGAUGGAAGGACAGGAGGAUUUGAAAUUGUGUCUGGACACUAGAGCAGUGUGACUGCACAGGUUGUUUGCAGGAGCUGCAGUGGGUGCUGACAGCUGGGAAGGGCUCCGAGUUACACAGUGGUUUCAGUGCCCACGGAGACAGACUGCACCUUGGGUUAUUCCAGACACAGCUGGGUAUGCAAGUCUAGGACAUGGCAUUUAGGAAAGACAUCAGAUAUACUGAGAGAGCUACAUGAGGGUGCAGGUUUGCUCCAUCACAUGAGAGAUGUCUGGGAUCCAAGACCUUUGCUCACAGCUCUGUUGCACUGUUUUUCUUCUGAGGUGCUGACCAUCAUCUCAGCAGCUAAGAGUUGCACCUGUUUUCAUGGCAACAAGGUUAUGCUAAAGUGUAUCUUUAAAAAGAAACUAAGUACAUCCAGCACAUUCAAGUAGAAGAGUACUUGCUUCACUGGAAAAUAAAUGCUGCUGCAGGAAAGUUUGCCUAUUUGUC
rnacentral:lncRNA from 1 species